AUGCUCACUUAGGCAGCACAUAUAUUAAAACUAGAAUAAUACAAAGAAGAUUAGCAUGACCCCUGCAAAAGGAUGACCUGCAAAUUCAUGAUGUACUCCAUAUUCCA
rnacentral:snRNA from 1 species